AGUAGGGAAUAUUGCACAAUGGGGGAAACCCUGAUGCAGCAACGCCGCGUGAGUGAAGAAGGCCCUUGGGUUGUAAAGCUCUUUAGCGAGGGAAGAAGGUAGAUACGGUGAAUAAUCGUGUUUGCUGACGGUACCUCGAGAAUAAGCACCGGCUAAUUUCGUGCCAGCAGCCGCGGUAAUACGAAAGGUGCAAGCGUUACUCGGAAUCACUGGGCGUAAAGCGCACGUAGGCGGACUCGUAGGUCAAUUGUGAAAUACCUGGGCUCAACCCGGGAACUGCAGUUGAAACCGCUUGUCUUGAAUACCUGAGAGGGUGGGGGAAUACCUGGUGGAGAAGUGAAAUUCGUAGAGAUCAGGUGGAACACCGGAGGCGAAGGCGCCUGCCUGGCAGUGUAUUGACGCUGAGGUGCGAAAGUGCGGGGAGCAAA
rnacentral:rRNA from 1 species